UCCGCCCGGGUACUACGAGCGCCAGCUUAAAACCCAAAGGACUUGGCGGUGCUUCAGACCCACCUAGAGGAGCCUGUUCUAGAACCGAUAAUCCCCGUUAAACCUCACCACCUCUGGCUUUCCCCGCCUAUAUACCGCCGUCGUCAGCUUACCCUGUGAAGGUCCAAUAGUAAGCACAAUGGUUAAACCCCAAAACGUCAGGUCGAGGUGUAGCGUACGAGGUGGGAAGAAAUGGGCUACAUUUUCUACAUCAGAAUAUCACGAACGGCACACUGAAAUAUGUGCCUAAAGGUGGAUUUAGCAGUAAAAA
rnacentral:rRNA from 1 species